rnacentral:rRNA from 1 species
AUGGCUUCAGAGGUGGUUCUGAGGCUGGAUGAGGCCCAAGAAAGAAGACCGCUCACCCCCCAGGAAUUCAGUCUUCGCAAGCUGUUAAAGCAGAGAAUCCUUGGUUUCACGGCCAUUGAGAGGGCAAGGAAGCGUCAAGCCUCUCGCAUACCAUGGCUGCACGCUAGUGACGUGAACACAAAGCUCUUCCAUGCCAGGAUGAUCUCCAGAAAACAGAAAAACUACAUUCACACCCUGCACCAGGGGAAUCGCAUCGCCUCCGAACACCAGGAAAAAUCACAGCUCAUUCACGAACACUUCUUCGGGCUGCUGGGGAACAGAAUCAAUCGGGCCAGCACCAUCAACUUUGAAAUGCUCAAUCUACCACAGGUUCAAGGGGACAUGUUGGAUCUGCCAUUCAAUGAGGGUGAGGUUUGGAAGGCCAUCAAGGCCUCGCCAGUCGAGAAGGCGCCAGGCCCGGAUGGGUUUUCGGGAGGGUUUUUCAGAUCAUGCUGGCUGAUCAUCAAAGAAGAUGUCAUGAGGGUUUUGGAGAAAUUCUACCACCUGGGGAGCAUGAAUGCAAAAUUAAUCAAUACGGCAAUGAUCGCACUAUUGCCAAAGAAGAAUGGGGCCUCGGAGAUUGGCCACUACAACCCGAUAAGUUUGAUUCAUUCCAUCGGAAAGCUGCUGGCAAAAGUGUUAUCUCUCCGUCUAGCCGGGGUUCUACACGAUGUUAUCUCGCCAGCGCAAAGCGUGUUUCAGAGGAAGAAAUGCAUUCAAAACUCCUUCAUGUACGUGCAAAACUGUGUCCGAUCACUGCAUCGAAACAAAAAGCCAGUGCUACUGAUCAAGAUUGACAUAGCUAGGGCCUUCGAUUCCGUAGCUUGGGAUUAUCUCCUUGAACUUCUCCAACGGCUAGGUUUUAGCGCGCGAUGGCGCGAUUGGAUAGCACUUCUUCUGUCUUCGGCCUCGUUGUCAUGCAUCCUCGAUGGAGUGCCCGGAGGGACGAUCGAGCAUGUGUGUGGUCUUCGAUAG